rnacentral:rRNA from 1 species
UACGUAGGGGGCAAGCGUUAUCCGGAUUUACUGGGUGUAAAGGGAGCGUAGACGGCUUGAUAAGUCUGAAGUGAAAGGCCAAGGCUUAACCAUGGAACUGCUUUGGAAACUAUGAGGCUAGAGUGCUGGAGAGGUAAGCGGAAUUCCUAGUGUAGCGGUGAAAUGCGUAGAUAUUAGGAGGAACACCAGUGGCGAAGGCGGCUUACUGGACAGAAACUGACGUUGAGGCUCGAAAGCGUGGGGAGCAAACA